CUCAUGCAUAGCUUGACUUAGUAGUCAAAUGAUAUCAUCCAUGAAAUUUAUCUCCAGUCUUCUUCUCCCAUUAUGUGUGCUGGCUUCAUUCUCAGAUAGGUUCUCCUACUCUAUGCAGGAUUAAAUCCAGGAAAAAAGAAGAGAAAUAGCAAUUUAAAAAAAUCUUUCUCUUUUCUGAUCAAUCUCUCCUCUGAUUGGUUCAAACUGGCCCCACUGUGAUUUCAUAACUACCCUCACCACAAUGAUUAUAGUCAAGGGAAUGAAAUGUGUUUCUUGGCUUGGGCUUAAGUCUUACGCCCAUGUCUGGAACUGGAGUGGGAUCGGCCACAUUGAAAGAACACAGCCUGAGGGCAGGGAAGCUAUUGAGCCCCAGAGAGAAGUUAAAGUACUUUUCAUGAAAGGAUUGGUUACUUGCACUACAGCAAAUUUACAACCAGCAAAAUAGACUAGAAACAAGCUACUUGUUGAUGAAGAGUGACAACAUGAGAAGUGACAAAUGAAGCAAUUGAUUUCAGGAAAAAAGAAGACACAUAGAUAGCAAAAAGGCAUAGAUCAAAUAGCAAAAAGACACCAAGUAUUAAAAUGAAAUUAAUACUCACCAUUUUAAAUGAAGCACCCACAUAAAUAAGGAUGAGUAGAGUUGAACUACACAGGAUCUGGACCAAGAUAGGAUUACUGAAUAUCUCAAGAACAAUCAAGAAUGUAAGAAAAUAUCAUUGUCUGUUAAGACUCCAUCGCAGAGAAGUUAAAGAGCUUCAAUCACCAUGCUUUCAGGGUCAAUUUGUCUCCGAAAAGGAACAGAUGGGGAAGAAUUAUUCCAUUCACAGUCAGAAAUUCCAAGAUCUUGGACUGGCUGAAAGCAAUGAUGUUGCCAUUCAUCCUUUCACGUAUUCAUUAUGGUCUACAGCUGAGAAGGGCUAUUUGGGGUUUGCUUUGCCUGAUGGUAGCAGAAGAAAACCAAGAGGCCUCUCUACGAAAGCUUGCAGUAAGGAGAAAGGUAAAAUGUUAAGUCUAAAGAGAACCAAAGAAAUUACCUGGUCCAACCUUUUCAUUCUACAAGUGGGAAAACUUGCUGAAAGUUGCUUAAUUUUUCUGGAUCUGAGGCACACAGUUCAUUUAUUAU
rnacentral:lncRNA from 1 species